GCCAGGUUGGCUUUGAAAUCGCUCGGCGGCGUUUGCCUCCUGCCGAGGCUUGAGCUGCCUGAUAAGCACACCCACCGGCUUAAGGAAGGUGCCUGAAAGACUCGAAGGGCUGGUCUCCAUGAAGGGAGAUGCUGGCAGCAGCUUGCAGAUGGUCUCUGGAUGAGGGUGUCUGUAUCCCCUCCUAUGCCUGAAGUCACUGGCUUUGUGUUGAGAUCUUCGAAUGGGCCAGGACAGAGACACGUACUCCAUAGGAACUGGUAGAUGUCCCAAACCAGAGCUAAGCUGCUCCCUGCUCCGGAGAAAUGGAUGUGAACGACUUCCCAGCACACCACUGGCUGGGAGAGCUUUAGUAUCUCCGUGAAUCACCUGAUCCAGGCAACCACACUAUGACCAGUUUCAGCCGUUAGUACUUGGUGGCUCAUAGAGUGAAAAUCCAGCCUAAACCGUUUAGUCGCUGGGAAGCUCAGGCACUGUGCAGUUGCUUGGUGAUGACACAUACACAGGUAACAUGGCGAUUGUAAAUUUGCGUCACUCUCAAGUUGUCAGCAUAAGGAGAGAAAACCACACGCAGCUUGGAACUUGGGGUGUUACACAACGCACUUCAUUGUGCAUGCCAGGCUCAGUAUUCAAGGAUCUCUUACAGUGAGGCAUGGCUAACAAAAGAGGAAAUAUUUUUUCAAAACAACAGAAGUAAAGGACAGCAAGAGCGUGCUAGAAUUUACAAUGCUCUCUCUUGUCACAAGUUGCCAGUCGGGAUAAUUCUGUCUUUCUGCGAAUGUUUCUGUACAUAUGUAUCUGAGUGUUUCCUGGUUGCCAUUGACAUCCCAGACUAAUGUGUCUCUACUUCCUAGACUGUUUUCCAGGUUGCCUGAUUCAGUAGCUCUCCCACUCCUGACUAUAACUACUUUUACUUAGACAUUAUGCCAAUUUCAUUUUCAUAAAAUUAUACCUGGAAGAAUGUAGACAACCCUUGGCUUCAUAUCCUUUGGGUUGUAGGUACCAAAUAUUUAUUGAUUUCGAAUCAAAAAAUUUAGCCUCUCUGUUUGUUGUGGCCAUUUUAUAGCUUCUUGGGUAAGUUUAAGGAAAUUGGAAAGUUAGGAUGACUAUAUAUUUAGUUGCAGGGACAUUUUAUAUUUCAUGUAAUGUAAGAAUAGAAAACAGUACAAGCCUAUAUUAUCCCGAGGAAAUGGCAGAGGGGAAGAGCGGGCCUUCAUUUGCUGAUGGAAACACUCGUAUUGUCUGAAUUUAUUAUAAUAAAUAUAAAUAUUAAUUCAAAA